CUUUUAAGCAACUUCAUGAAGGAGUGGAUGUUGAGGAAGUAAUUCUUCCAAGUAUGAUUGAGAAUCUGCCAGAUCAUACAGAUACCACUUCAGAAUUUCCUGUUGUCGAGGCAAGAUCUCUGGAUGAUAUACAUAAUGCUUUCAUAAAAGGACCGGAACCUAAUCCAGCUGAGCUGCCGCAUUCAGCAGACUUGAGGCAUGGAUCAUCAGAAGUAGAGCUGCAUGAUGUGGUUUCUUCUAAUGAGGUUGAAGUUGGGCAAGCAGUCUCUGGCUUUGAAGAACAUCUUGAGAAUGUUGCUGCUGGUGAACCGAAAAAAGAAUAUGAAGAAAUAGAAGAAUUGAAGAUGGAGACCAAUGCGGAGCUGCCUGUUCUGAAUGCAAGAUCGGUUGAAGAUAUUGAUUUGGCUUUUAAGCAACUUCAUGAAGGUGUAGAUGUUGAGGAAGUAGUUCUUGCAAGCAUGAUUGAGGAUCAGCUGGAUCAUGAAGAUUUCACUUCAAAGUUACCUGUUGUCGAGGCAAGAUCUCUGGAGGAUAUACAUAAUGCUUUCCAAAAAGGUCCAGAACCUAAUCUGGCCGAGCUGCCACUUUCCACAGACUUGAGAAAUGGAUCAUCAGAAAUGGAGCAGCAUGAUGUGGUUUCUAAUAAAGAGAUUGAAGUUGGCCGUGCCGUCUCUGGCAUUCAAGAAAAUAGUCAGAAUUCUGCCGGUGAACCAAAAAAUGACCAUGAAGAAACAGAGGAAAUGAAGAUGGAGACCAAUGCAGAGCUGCCUGUUCUUGAAGCAAGAUCAUUGGAAGACAUUGAUUUGGCUUUUAAGCAAUUUCAUGAAGGAGUUGAUGUUGAGGAAAUAAUUCUUCCAAGCAUGAUUGAGAAUCAGCAGGGUGAUGCAGAUACCAAUUCGGAUUUACCAGUUGUUGAGGCGAGAUCUCUGGAGGAUAUACAGAGUGCUUUUCAACAAGGCCCCGAAUCUAAUCUAGCUGAGGUGCCACAUUCCUCAGGAGUAGAGCAUCCUGAUGUGGUUUCUACUGAAGAGAUUGAUGGUAGUAGUCCCGUCUCUGGUAUUCAAGCAAUGAGUGAGAAUGUUGCCAGUGGACCAAAAAAUGAAAACAAAGAAAUGGUAGAAAAAGAGAUGGAGACUGAGGUGGUGCUACCUGUACUUGAAGCAAAAUCAGUGGAAGACAUCGAUGUGGCGUUUAAGCAACUUCAUGAAGGGGUAAAUGUGGAGGAAAUAAUUAUUCCAAGUAUGAUUGUGAACCAACAGGUUCAUGCAGACAUCAGUUCAACAUUACCUGUUGUCGAGGCAAGAUCUCUGGAGGAUAUACAUAAUGCUUUCCAACAAGGCCCUAAAUCUAAUCCAGGCGAGCAGCCACAUUCUUCGGACUUAAGGAUCGGAUCAUCAAAAAUAGAAAGGCAUG
rnacentral:lncRNA from 1 species